rnacentral:rRNA from 1 species
GAGUUUGAUCAUGGCUCAGAUUGAACGCUGGCGGCAGGCCUAACACAUGCAAGUCGAACGGUAACAGGAAACAGCUUGCUGUUUCGCUGACGAGUGGCGGACGGGUGAGUAAUGUCUGGGAAACUGCCUGAUGGAGGGGGAUAACUACUGGAAACGGUAGCUAAUACCGCAUAACGUCGCAAGACCAAAGAGGGGGACCCUCGGGCCUCUUGCCAUCGGAUGUGCCCAGAUGGGAUUAGCUUGUUGGUGGGGUAACGGCUCACCAAGGCGACGAUCCCUAGCUGGUCUGAGAGGAUGACCAGCCACACUGGAACUGAGACACGGUCCAGACUCCUACGGGAGGCAGCAGUGGGGAAUAUUGCACAAUGGGCGCAAGCCUGAUGCAGCCAUGCCGCGUGUAUGAAGAAGGCCUUCGGGUUGUAAAGUACUUUCAGCGGGGAGGAAGGGAGUAAAGUUAAUACCUUUGCUCAUUGACGUUACCCGCAGAAGAAGCACCGGCUAACUCCGUGCCAGCAGCCGCGGUAAUACGGAGGGUGCAAGCGUUAAUCGGAAUUACUGGGCGUAAAGCGCACGCAGGCGGUUUGUUAAGUCAGAUGUGAAAUCCCCGGGCGCAACCUGGGAACUGCAUCUGAUACUGGCAAGCUUGAGUCUCGUAGAGGGGGGUAGAAUUCCAGGUGUAGCGGUGAAAUGCGUAGAGAUCUGGAGGAAUACCGGUGGCGAAGGCGGCCCCCUGGACGAAGACUGACGCUCAGGUGCGAAAGCGUGGGGAGCAAACAGGAUUAGAUACCCUGGUAGUCCACGCCGUAAACGAUGUCGACUUGGAGGUUGUGCCCUUGAGGCGUGGCUUCCGGAGCUAACGCGUUAAGUCGACCGCCUGGGGAGUACGGCCGCAAGGUUAAAACUCAAAUGAAUUGACGGGGGCCCGCACAAGCGGUGGAGCAUGUGGUUUAAUUCGAUGCAACGCGAAGAACCUUGCCUGGUCUUGACAUCCACGGAAGUUUUCAGAGAUGAGAAUGUGCCUUCGGGAACCGUGAGACAGGUGCUGCAUGGCUGUCGUCAGCUCGUGUUGUGAAAUGUUGGGUUAAGUCCCGCAACGAGCGCAACCCUUAUCCUUUGUUGCCAGCGGUCCGGCCGGGAACUCAAAGGAGACUGCCAGUGAUAAACUGGAGGAAGGUGGGGAUGACGUCAAGUCAUCAUGGCCCUUACGACCAGGGCUACACACGUGCUACAAUGGCGCAUACAAAGAGAAGCGACCUCGCGAGAGCAAGCGGACCUCAUAAAGUGCGUCGUAGUCCGGAUUGGAGUCUGCAACUCGACUCCAUGAAGUCGGAAUCGCUAGUAUCGUGGAUCAGAAUGCCACGGUGAAUACGUUCCCGGGCCUUGUACACACCGCCCGUCACACCAUGGGAGUGGGUUGCAAAAGAAGUAGGUAGCUUAACCUUCGGGAGGGCGCUUACCACUUUGUGAUUCAUGACUGGGGUGAAGUCGUAACAAGGUA